ACAAGUUGGACCUAGAUGGUAGUGUUUGUCCAGAUCUGGCUUUUAUUUUCUAACAGGUUGAAUCUGUUGUUUUAUUGCAGGCUUUGUUUUGUUUUGUUUUGUUUGUUUUGCAUUGAGAAUAUGUUUUUAUGAGAUAUGAAAUUGGCCACUGACUCUAACUAUUUUCUAAAGUCUGAUAUAGAUGUUUAAAAAUCCCCUUGGUAUCAAGGCUGUGCAGGGACUCUGCUCCAACUGCAGAGACUAGAAAACUGCUAAUAAAUGCAGUGCUUUCUGCUACUUAGAACACCUAGCUCUUCAACCUUUGGCUUUCCACCAUCCCACGGCUGUAGGACCCCUUGAAUUCAGCCGUGUUCUCCACCAUUUACCAAUAUGCUACUGUUGGACAUCAAGAAGUCAUUUCUUUGUGAAGUUUCCAAGCGGGUUGCAUUCUUUUCUUCUGCCAGCAGUACCUCUUCGUGUACCACUUCACCCAGAGAUUUUGUUUACCUAUAAAGUCAGUGUGAUGAAGUACUUCAUGCCAAGCCUUGAUGAGUCCUUUGUUUUUUUGACAGCCCUGGCCCACCACCCCACAGCCUUUCUUGAAGCAGAUUUCUGACAGCUGCUGCUGAAAUUGAUCUCCUGGGCUGGAGGAUGAGCAUCCAGAGCCCAAAGGAAAGAUCAGGGAAGCAGAAAGCUUUCCAUACCUCAUCGCUUUGUAGGGGUCAAUUGAAGGCUGGAAGUGAGACAAAAAGGAACUGGGAAGAAAGCAGAAGAAGAGAAAGAGAGAAGACAGAUAAACUUUUGUGCAGCCUCUUCUGACCCAGAGAUUAACUUGAGGUAUUUGAUCAUGAGACGCUAUUUAAGCUAAAAAAUUACUAAAUCUUUUCUGAAACCACCAGGCAAGCGUAUAUUUAAUGUAAUACAGGAUUCCAAUUCUUAAGUUAGUUUUAUUAUUUCAUUAAUUUUCCCUUUCAUUUCAAAGGCUUGCUGUCUUUCUGUUUACGUAAUGCUUAAAAUUUUGACAAACCCUUGUGGAUUUGCUCCAUGAAGACACACUCUUCUCCCCAUCAGGGAACACAGCUGUUUGGCUGCAACCUAGGAAGACUUCACCGUAGAUAAAUCUGCAAACUUCCCCCCACUGACUCAUGAAAGAUUCCACAGAAGCAUGUCAUCCAUAAUAAUCAGGGAUGGAGCCCGUCUCAGCUUUGCAUCUUUCUUACAGUCUGCAGAAGUUUGCUGAUCCCUCCGUGUGCCUGUGUGCCUGAAUGAGCAUGCAACAUCUGCACUGCAGUCCUGUUAUCUGAGGGCCAGUUGUAUAUACCAGAGGCUCAGCCCACCAUUCCGAACACUCAAUUUUCAUGACAGGUCCCUUCUGUACUUGCACGUUUCCAGCUGGGAGAUCACCACACAUUGCCUCCUGCUUAUCUAUUGCAGUAGAAAUGCUAAGUCACAGCCUGAACCAGUGACUGAGCACCUGGUGGGAAGGCAGGGCCAACCCAAGGAAGUUCAGCUGCAUGCAGUGUACCUGAGUGACCAGGUGAAGCCAAGAUCCACCCUUUCCUAGACCUCAUUUAAGGGUUGGCAGGGGGUACAAGGGUUUCUUGCUGGAGAUUUCUGCGUGCUGGAGGCCUUUCAAAUCCACAUCACACGCACUGCCAGUCUCCAGCAGGUUGCAGGAGGUUAGUGAGAGCAGGAAAUGGAAGGAAGGAUGGAAGAAAUGAAGACUCGUUGUAUUAGGCUGCUGCAGGAGAUGAAAGGGCAAAGCACGGCUAAGGAAAAAGAAAUUAUGAAAUGCUGAUUUACCUGAUAGAAGAGAUUGAAUCUGUGAAGAGUCUCUCUGUAUUGCAGGUUCUUCAUAUUUAUACUGAAAACAUCUGAGGGAGGUGACAAACUGAUAACAUUCGUAACUAUGGGCAGAUUUAACAAUGAAAUUAAACGCUAAUGGGUGCACACUAACCAUGGGUGGCCUAUUGCCGUUCAGAGCCAUCCAGAGACCCACAUGCCUGCAGUGAAUCUUUGCACUGCCUCUGGGCAUCAUCUGGGUAGAGAGGAUGAGAUGACAAAAUGGGGGCUCUGUUUGCUGGAAGCAAAAUUGUAAUAGAGCAAAAAACUUGCUUCAUUUCACCUUCCUCCUUCCAUCAAAUGCAUUAAAAGACAUUUGAGGACUUUAUGGGGCUCCAAAUCAGAUCUUUUGGCGGAGAGACUGCUGCUUAUGAAAAGCUGUUCUGAUUGCUAAAUACCCUGUUAAAAUGCAAAACUCCUCCCAAACAAAAGAUUUAAUAAAAGAUCAUUUUUCUUUUACUGCAUUUUUUACAAUCACUGCAGUAUAUGGUAUCCUCAGUGGUUUUACAGUCCCCUUGCCAUUGCCUUGAGUUUACUGGAUGUAGUAAUAUUUAUAGAGAGUACAGACAUCGUGCCCUGAACACAGUCUUCCAGCCAGCACCAAGUAUGAUUUACAGGAUGUUUGGGGUUUUUUUUGUCAUGAAAUUGGCCAGUAAAACAGAAGUUACCUUGUUUAUUAUUCACAAUUUUUCCCACUCUGAAACAUUCUGGUCAGCCUUCUUUGUUUCACUGAAAUUUCUGUGUAAAGGAUUUUUGCUUAUUGUUAUUACAUACAUGUCUCCUGGCACUUCGAAAUAGUUUCUGGCUUAUUUUUCCUGUUUCCAGGAUUGGGCUCUCUUAUAGUAAGCGUUGCUCAUUCACCCCAUCUUACCGUGGAAUAAAGCUGCUGCAAUGACCCAGCAGUGGCACAUCCAAGUCUUCAUUCACCUUAUUGCUCUUUGUGAAACGUAUAGUCUCUUGCACUGCGGGAAAAACUGUUGAUUGCAGCCAUCUUUGCUUCUGCUUGGUUUACUUCUUUAUGCGAUCAUCACUUUGGGCCUACAGGGAAAUGGGAAAUGUUUGUCCUGAUGCACUGCUCCUGGAGAAAAGGGCUUUCUCUAAAGCACUUCAGAUGUAUUCAUGUGGAGAAAAUGGCUGAAGCUCUUGUCAUCCUUUCCAUAUCAAGCAUCCCUCUAGCACUGUCAAAACCUCGUUAUAAAUGAAGCUGUCUCCCACAGAGGACGUUUUUAUAACCACAGGAGCUCAUGGUCAUAUUGCAGAGCUUCUUCUGGAAAGGACAGUGUUUCUUGCACGGAGCUAUAUUUUCCUUUUCUACAAUGAAAGCAGGAGUAAAGCACGUCCAAGGCUCAUAUUUACUUUUUCUUGGAUGCAUGGCAGCUCUUUAAAAUACAGGCAGAAUAGGUAAAUUAUAUAAUGAGAUGGGAAGUGCAAUUUCCAAACAGCAGAUACAUUGCAAACAAGAUUUAUGGCUUCAUAGUGUUUAUAGCUUCAGAAAUUUUUGAAUCAAUGGUAUUCACAUUUCUAAUAGCAAUAUUUUCUUGCUUCCUUAGUUGCCAGCUGCACCAGUUCAGUGCUAACUUAGCGUUACAGUUCAUCAUCUUUCUCCAAGCUACACGUUGCCUUGAGCAGCUCGGUGCACUCUCCUUGCUUUUGGGUGUAUAACGGGCCCCUUCAUUCAGGUUGUUACAAUCCACUUUAGGCUAAAUAAUGGCACGUGUAAAGAUUAUUUCUCAGAAGUGUGAGCACUGUGUUCUUACUUCACUUGGUCCUCUAUGAAGUGGAAUAAAC